UAUCAAUGUAUGAAAUAUGGGAGCUAGAGAUCAUACCGUAUUACAUAGUAGAUUAUAAAUACAAUUGUACUACACCAAAAAUUGAAGCAACAACCAAAUCCACUUUUCCCAAUCAAAAGACCAAUGUAACAGAGUAUAUGAGCAGCUUUACAAAGACAUUGGAAACAAGUGGCACUCCUUAUAUGACUAGAUAUUCAUCCUUAAAUCUAACAUCUGGGACUACGAACUUCACACCCUUGGUUAAGUCUACAUCUCAAACAACUUCAAAUGCUUCCUUUAC